rnacentral:ncRNA from 1 species
UUAAAGGCUGUGAAUGUGCAUAGUAGGUAUGAAUACAUGUUAAGAGAGAGGAAGUUAUAAGCUGGAAGCUUCCUUACAUAAGGUUCAUUAUUGAAUUUCACACAGGAGCUGCGCAAAUGAAGGCCUGUAAAUUGAUUAUAGAGUUGGGUAGUUUGUGACGUUAAUACACGUUAAGUAUAUGAGAGCUUAUUUAAUGCAAUAGUAAAUAGUAUUGUUUUUAUUGUAUUUAGAUGGGAAUCAGGGUGGUAUCGCGGAUAUUAGUUUCGUCCCUAUU